GAUGAAGAACGUGCGAAAUGCGAUACGUAAUGUGAAUUGCAGAAUUCAGUGAAUCAUCGAAUCUUUGAACGCAUAUUGCGCUCUCUGGUAUUCCGGAGAGCAUGCUUGUUUGAGUAUCAGUAAACACCUCAACUUCCAUAUCUUUUUUGAAAUGGGAGUUGGACUUGAGUGAUCCCAACGCUUUUCCUCACCGAAAAGUGGCGGGUUACUUGAAAUGCAGGUGCAGCUGGACUUUUCUCUGAGCUAUAAGCAUAUCUAUUUAGUCUGCCUAAAAAACAGAUUAUUACCUUUGCUGCAGCUAACAUAAAGGAGAUUAGUUCUUGUGCUGACUGAUGCAGGAUUCACAAAGACAGGCUUCGGCCGACUUUGUAAACUCGAUCUCAAAUCAAGUAAGACUACCCGCUGAACUUAAGCAUAUCAAUAAGCGGAGGA
rnacentral:misc_RNA from 1 species